rnacentral:rRNA from 1 species
UACGUAGGGUGCAAGCGUUAAUCGGAAUUAUUGGGCGUAAAGCGCGCGCAGGCGGUUUGUUAAGUCUGAUGUAUAAGCCCAAGGCUCAACUUUGGGAGGCAUUGGAAACUGGGAGACUGGAGUGUAAGAGAGGAAAGUGGAAUUCCACGUGUAGCGGUGAAAUGCGUAGAGAUGUGGAGGAACACCAGUGGCGAAGGCGACUUUCUGGCCUAUAACUGACGCUGAGGCGCGAAAGCGUGGGGAGCAAACAGG